GACACUGAGCUCAGAAGUCCUCUGAGGGUGCAGUUUGCAAAGGGGUUUGUCAGGACUGCUGUGGGAAAUGGAUGGACUUUGUUUUGUAAAAGAAUCACUGCUCUUUAAGACAACUAGCUCUCUGCCCCGCCUCUUCCAUUGCUAGACUGGUCACGCAGAGCCUGACUUGCUGCAGGACGACCCCCAAGUGCGAGGAGGCUUUAUUCUAAAGGCAAGUGAGACCACUUCAAAUCACAGUUUAACAAUUCCAAGCUAAGAGAAGGCAGAGAUGAGCAGAAAUCCUUUGGCUGACGCGUACACAGUUGCCGUGGACCUGCAUGAGCAGUGCGAGACCACAGAGGCCAACUGGCAUAAGGAAAAGAUGGAGUUACUGGACCAGUUUGACAAUGAAAGAAAAGAAUGGGAG
rnacentral:lncRNA from 1 species